GGCCUCGGAGGCCUCGGAGGCCUCCGCGGCCUCGGAGGCUGCGGAGCCCGCGGCCGAACCUGUCGAUCCGGAGACC
rnacentral:tRNA from 1 species